rnacentral:rRNA from 1 species
GACGAACGCUGGCGGCGUGCUUAACACAUGCAAGUCGAACGAAGUGGCGAACGGGUGAGUAACGCGUCAUCAACCUGCCCUUCAGAGGGGGACAACAGUUGGAAACGACUGCUAAUACCGCAUACUGAAGGUGGGGAUUGCGUCUGAUUAGAUAGUUGGAGGGGUAACGGCACACCAUGGCGAUGAGCAGUAGACGGUCUGAAAGAAUGAGAGGCCAAAUUGGGACUGAGACACGGCCCAGACUACUACGGGAGGCAGCAGAGGGGAAUCUUCCGCAAUGGACGAAAGUCUGACGGAGCAACGCCGCGUGAGUGAUGACGGCCUACGGGUUGUAAAGCUAUGUUAAUCGGGACGCGGUACCGGAAUAGAAAGCCACGGCUAACUACGUGCCAGCAGCCGCGGUAAUUC